CUUCUUGGAUGCAGGGGAGUUAUUAUGCGAGGAAUUGCCAGUUGGAUUGUGUUCAUUCUCAAUCGCGUCUUCCGGGAAGCGAUGCGUAUUAGAGACAUACUCUUCAAAUGAUGGAACUAUGGAGUUCCAAUGCAAGACAUCUAAAGUUCUUGCUAUUUAAUUGUAUGAGUAUAUUGAGGCUGACGAAUGCGUGAGUUCAUGUGGGGUCGAUCGAAAAUCAGUUGGGAUCUCAUCAGAUGCCCUUCUCGACUCUCAAUUCACUACCAAGCUAUGCUCACCGUAAUGUUACCAGAACUGUCCCAACAUUGUCGAUCUUUACUACAAUUUAGCUCUCGGAGAAGGUGAUGCUCACAACCCCCAAUUCUCUCUCAAACAACCUCAUCUAAAGGCCUUACUUAUUAAAUAACAAACAAAUUUAUUAAUUUUAAGUCUUCAACACGAUUGUAGGGGCGGAGCCUUGGUGGACAAAAAAAUUUUCUAAUGAACUGAUACAUUGAAAAAAAAAAUUUUAAUUGAAAUUUUUUCUUUUUUUUUUUUUACCAAAAAUUUUUACCUUAAAAAAUAAAAUAAAAAUUGGGCUCGAGGGAGCUUUCCUUCAUUUGCCUCUAGCUCUCACGGACUGUCCACAGAUAUUUUUUAUUGAAGUUAUGAUACGUACACAAUUUUCAUAAAUAGAAACUCGACACAGUGAUAGUUAGCAUCUGCUAAUAUGGUAUUUGAUAACAAUUCCCUAUUUCUGCUACUGGUGGUCCCAUGUCUACUGCUGCUCCUUCUCCAUCUUCACCUGUAGAUUGUGCUCUAGCUCCAAUGUAAAUACAUUCCUAUAGUACUGGACAGGACUAUACAAUUAAUGAUCAUGAUUUUAGUUUAUAUUUGUUCAUGUCUAUUACCAUCCAAUAUUAUGUGUACGGAGCAUGCCAUAUAUGUUUUAUGUAAUUUCAUUUGGUAUCAC
rnacentral:lncRNA from 1 species